rnacentral:misc_RNA from 1 species
AAAAGUCUUCCUUGAUAUGCUGUAACUAUCCUAAUAUUGUGUAACAACCUCAGAUACGAUAAGCUACCAUAAGUUGUAUAUAUUCUCAGCUUCAGUAAUACAGUAAAAUAAGCUCUGUCCAACUUUUAUAUGGUAUCAGAGCUACCAUAGGCCUUCCAUGGCGUUAGUACUCCUUCAUCUCUUGUCCCUGUUUCUUUUUCCACAAUACCUAACGUUUCUCAGCUUUUGUCAGUUAAACUCACCUCUUCCAACUAUCUCCUCUGCUCCCUCUGUUAAAUGGCUAUAAUCUAGCUACCCAUGUUUCUUCUUCUUCUACACCACCAGCACAAAACUUAGCCAAUGGACAACCUAACCCAGAUUACCAACGUUGGUAUUUUUAAGAUUAGCUGGUAUUGACAUGGUUGUUUGCUUUGAUUUCUGAACAGUUAUUGCCAUAAGUUGUUGGCUCUCCCACGGCAAAGGAAGCAUGAAAUGAGCAAAGACCAUCUUUGACUAGCUGGCUGCUUUAAAAGCAUCAGUUUCUAAGGAUGCACUCGUGAAUGGCAUUCUUG